GCCGGGCCCGGUGGCACGUGCCUGUAGUCCCAGCUACUCAGGAGGCUGCGGUGGGAUCAUCGCUUGAGCGAUGUUCUGGGUGUCCGCACUAAGUUCAGCGUCAAUAUGGUGACCUCCUGGGAGUGGGGAACCACCAGGUUGCCAAGCGAGGGGUGAACUGGCCCAGGUUGGAAACAGAGCAGGUCAAAACUCCUGUGCUGAUCAGUAGUGGGAUCAUACCUGUGAAUAGCACUGCACUCCAGCCUGGGCAACAUAGCAAGACCCCGUCUCUA
ensembl:misc_RNA Metazoa_SRP Metazoan signal recognition particle RNA